CCCCCCUAAAAAAAGAGGUUAAAUCUAAAAGGUACAGGAUGACUGGAGAAGGGCAAGCACUGUCUCAAUUUUCCAAAACUACCGAUAUUUAUAUUUACUAUGAAUCCCUAGCAAGAUUCUUACAAGAAAAUAGCUUGUAAAAGCUAAUGAGGCUGACAUGGGAAUUCAUAAGAUACAAGGCUGUGAAACUUCCUUUUUCAACCGUGUUAUCUGUCGGGAACUAGGGCCUAUAAGCACUAUGAGAUGUCUAUUUGUUCAGCGCAGUCCUCAUGACAAUGGGGUGAGAGUGGAGGACAAGCUGGAGAAAUACCAUCAAUGCUGGAACAUGAUCUAACUUUGAAGAGAGUAAAGAGAACGAACAGCAGGAUCAAGUUCACUCUAGAGGGAAGACUCUGCAGACGUGCUGCAAAGUUCUAUGCCCCGACCUCUCAACAUCUGAAGGCACUGUGAAGAUGGAGGGAACAGGGGACUGAGAAGAACGGGGAAGCUCUAAGAAGCUGAUGCAAAGAACGGGUAAGAAAUCUAACUGGAAACACAACAUAAGUAUUAACAUUUAGAUUUACAAAUGGCAGCCAGGCCCAGUGGCUCAUGCCUGUAAUUCCAAGCAACAUGGGAGGCUGAGGCAGCAGCAGGAUUCCUUGAGCACAGCAGUUUAGAGGCCACGGUGAGCUAUGAUCGCACCAUUGCACUCCACCCUGGGCAACAGAGCAAGACCCCAUCUCUAAAUAAAUAAAUUUGCAAAUCGCUAAUGGGAUAUUUUCACAAUUUUCUUCAGUGGAUAGCUACAUUUUAAAAGUAACUCCAUAAUCUCUGUGAAUGACGCAUUUGUAUUUUAAGAACUUUAGCUCUAAUUUCAGAGAAUAUUAACAAUUUUUAGAUACAAGACAUUCUGAAAUCUUCAGUUACUUUAACAGAAAAACAUCUUGCUGCAAAUUUUAAUAAAGUAUAUCAAUGGAAUUAACAAAUAACUUGACUAAGAAAGGACUAGAUUUGGCCAGAUACGUCCCACCCCAAUUUAAUCAAAGAAAAUGAGAAAAUAAACUGUAGCUUAAUUAUAAUCAUAUAAUUAGAGCUUCCCCACAGACACAAGAAAGUAAACCACUUUCACAUGUAGUGAGUGUUGGCUGGUGGAUUAUUUUAAGCAUCUAUUGUUACACAGCAGUGAGGCCUCUUUAACAUGAUCAAGUAUGUACAGUUUAAGUCCAAUCAUUUCCUUGGUUAGCUGUUUCAUUCUGUUUUCAUUUUGAGAUAUUCAAGCACAAUCUAGUCCAUAAUAUUUUGCCUUUAUCCAUCAGGAUAUAUUUGUAAAAGGGCAGAAGUUAACAUAUUAGCUAGCAAGGCUAUUUAAAUAAUCUACCCGAGACCUAUAAAGUCAAUAUUAAUUCCCAAUGAAACAUAAUUAACUUCUGCAAUUUAAUAAAUGGGUAGCUUUGAUAUACAUGAAAAAAAUGUAGACUGAUUACAGUUGAAAAUUUUCUCUCAGGAGCUAUUAAAACACUAAAUGACACCACAAAAUAUGCUUACAAUUGGAAUGUUAAGACAGUUAACUUUGACUUUUAUUAUGUUACCUAUACUUUUUUCACAGAAAACUCCAGAAUAAUCAUUGGUACCAAUGAAAAAGUAUUUCAAACAACAACUUUUUCCUUAUAUUCAACUUUCCAGACAUAAAUGUAAGGCAUAAAAAAGUCACACUGGUUUCUAAUUGGUUCAUAGCCCUGUUUUUUUAUUUUUUUUUCCCCCUUUGACUUAAUAAUCUGAAUGCUGGUUAAAUGAAAAAUGGUCUGAUAUGCGGCUAUGGAGCCCGGUUCCAACACGAAAUGUGCUCCUUGAGCAAGUCAGUUACCUCACUAACUUUCACCUCCAACCUCAUGAGAUGAGGACAUGAAGACAUACAGAAAGAAUCUGCAUGGAAACUGACAUGCAGGACAUGCUCAAACAUGGGAGGCUGCUUUUUCUAGUGAUCUUCUGGAUGAAAUCUACAGAUAAUGGUCCUUCACCAGCAAAAGGAAGCAUGCUCCCUUUAACCAUGAACUGUAUCAUCCAUGUAUGUUAAUCGAGUCAUCAAUAGUUUCUAUUCAUGACAGGGGAAAUAUCAUCCCUUGUAAUAGGUCUGGCUUUGACAGGCAGCUUCACUAGUCAUUCAGAAAUAGACUGGGUAAACUGUUACAGAAACUACACACAGGGCAUUGCUAAUAAGAGCUACACAUUACUUUUCCAAUUUUACAAAGAGCAUAAAUAGAGAACAUAUGCCAUUCUAAUAAUUCCCAGGAGUGGUAUAAAUGUAACUCGGCUCAUUUGUGUUUUAAUUUUUUUAGAAAUUAUGGUUACUUCAAAAAUUGAGAGUCAUGUGAGUUCCUAUGUUCAGUAUAUUUUAUAAACCCAAAUAUGGGCUAAGGUUAUAGCAACUUUUAUUCCAAAUGCCAUCAAUUUUCAAAAUAACCCCCAAGAUGAAAGAUACUCAUCGAAGUUUGUAAGUGGCUAUCCAGAAUUAAGUCAAGCACUUUAAGAAAAGGACAGUAAAAAGGGAUAUAAUCUACUUAAUGGUUCUUGAAUUCUUCCAUGCCAUUACUUACACCACUUACCUAUCUAUCCUCUACUUACAAAAGGGAACAAUAACAGGAGACAAAAUAGAAAUAGAAUUGCUGCAGGGGAAAAAAAGCUAAAUUGGGAUAAUACAGAAAAAGUACUUUAAAAGAACUAAUGAUACGAAGGGAUAUGAUCACCAGAAAAACAUACAUAUCGACCAAACAUUUCACAUACCCUUUACGUCUUGUUUUCCCUCAAGACAGACCCUAACUACAACAAAGUAUUCCCAUGUAGAGCUUGUUCCAGCAUCUAUGAUGUGACAAAUUAUUUCUUCAACUUGGUGUCCGUUCUGAUUUAGAUUCCCACUCUUCAAAAAAUACAGGCCAGAACUCAUUUCCUUAGCAGACACUGUGAAUACCUCAAUGUUUUCACGCUCCUCAAAACUUUAAAAAGAGAAGAGGGGGGGAAAAAAAAAAAGCAUUUCCCUAGGUCACCAACAAUCAGUAAUAAUCUGAAAAAAGGAAAAAUCUCUUCUUUUUCCUUCAGGAAUGGAAAUGGGAAGGAAUGGUAAAACCCCAAACAGUGCAUCUGUGAGAGCCCAUGAGUGGCUCUGUUAUUAAACAUGGAAACAGAAAUAUCUACUUCAGCUUGUCUGAGCCUCAAAUUUCCUUAGGUGUCCGUCUAAGAACACCUAAGUAUAGGCACAGCUGGUCUAUCAGCCUCUAAAUAAAAAGAGGAGCCACAGCCUGUGAACUAAGCUCUGGAUGUAAAUCUCGUGCUUUCAGUAAAUCCACAGACCUCUCAUCGUGGCACACCCUCCCGGCUACGAGCAGGAAUAAUCUCUUCCCCCAUUUAGCUCAACUACUUUCCUAAUCCCACGUACAUGAUCACUAGCCUCCUAAGAAGAAUUCUCAAAAAUACUGGGGAUCUCGGGAAUGUGUAUCAAGUAGUUGGAUAUUAAAAAAAAAAAAACUUCCAAAUCCUGACAAUUUUUACAGUUACUAGGGUCAGAAGUACAGUGAUUUUGUAUUUAAGUGAUAGAUUUUUCCAUUUUGUAAAACUUUUUAAAUGAAACUUUUAUAAUUAAAUUAUAUAUUUAUAUAUUUAUAAAAUUAUAUAUUAUACAUUAUAAGAAAUAUAUUUCUUAAUUUCUCAAAUACAAGGAUUUUCCUGUUAUCUUUUGGUUGAUUCCUUCUAUAAUUUCAUAAGAAAAAUACAUGAUUUUAAUCAUUUGAAAUUUAUCAAUACUUGCUUUAUAGUCCUAUAUGUAAUCAAUGUCAGAUGUUCCAUGUGCUUGAAAAGAAUGGAUUAUAUAGGAACUGUAAUAUUCUGUGAAUGUCCAUGAGGUCAAAUUUGUUAAUUAAUCAUGUUCUUUAAGUCUUCCAUAUCCUAAGUUUUCUGCAAGUCGUAUUAUUCAGAAAGGUAUGUUAACUUCCCAGUAGGAUUGUGCAUUCACCUAUUUUUCUUCUGUUUCUGUAUAUUUUUGCUUUAUAUAAUAUGUACCUAUAUCUGAACUGAACCUUUUACCACUGUACAGUGAUCCUCUUCAUCUCUAAUGCCUUUUGCCUUGAUUUCUAUUUUGUCUGAUAUCAACAUGUUAUACCAGCUUUAUUUUGCUUAAAGUAAGCCUGAAAUAUAAUUUUCCAUUAUUUUGCCUUCUGUAUCUUUGUUUUUAGAUACGCUUCUUGUAAACCUAGUAUGUCAGAUGUCUUUAAUCCAAUCUGACCUGCCUUUUAGCAGAAUCCUCUAGUCUAUUUACAUUUAUUGUAAUUACUGACACCCGGAUUUAUAACUAUCAUGUUAUUGUGUACUCUCUGUUUUUCCUGCCUCCUCUAUACUCUCUUUGUAGUAGACAAUGGUGUUAAGGUCCAUUUUCUAAGUUUUCUCCUUGUGUUGAGUACUAUCAGUAAGUUGUUAGAUAAAAUGAUUCACCAACUUUUAUUAUUUAUAUGUCUUAAUAUAACUUGCCUAAAUUCUCAUACUUCUAGUUGAUAGCAAAACACAGGACAUAAAAUCUUUAUGAAAUUACAAUACAACUACCAUCUGGUCUUUAACCAACCUAUGGAAGUACAAGGCUGUCCAUUAAAAAUGACAACAGUAGGCUCUCAGAACUGCUGCAGCUUAGGCAGUAACCAAGCUGCUUGCACAUUUUUUCUUCUUCUGGUUUUAUCCAAUGAAACUAAGGUAUAUUAUCACAAAAUAGAUAUCUACUUAUGUAUGUAGUAUCAAAUAUUAUCGAUGCUUGGGGCAACCAGGUAUCACUAAUUAUAUUUACCCUAUCAUAAUUCUCCUUUAAUACCCAGCUCAAAAUAAAAACCAGUUAAAGCCGAAGUCUUCAGAAGCUAAA